CGCAUACUCCCUCCGUCCGAAAUUACUUGCCGCAUAAAUGUAUAGAAAUGGAUGUAUCUAAAACUAAAAUACAUUUAAAUACAUCCAUUCCUAUGACAAGUAUUUCCGGACAGAAGGAGAAAAUU
rfam:Hordeum vulgare subsp. vulgare, WGS project CAJW01000000 data, contig: morex_contig_45285